CGGUAAUACGGAGGGUGCGAGCGUUAAUCGGAAUUACUGGGCGUAAAGCGCAUGCAGGUGGUUUGUUAAGUUCAGAUGUGAAAGCCCGGGCGUCAACCUCGGAAUAGCAUUUGUAAACUAGGCAGACUAGAGUACUGUAGAGGGGGUAGGAAGUUUCAGGUGUAGCGGUGAAAUGCGUAGAGAUCUGAAGGAAUACCGGUGGCGAAGGCGGCCCCCUGGACAGAUACUGACACUCAGAUGCGAAAGCGUGGGGAGCAAACAGGAUUAGAUACCCUGGUAG
rnacentral:rRNA from 1 species